GAUGAACGCUCGCUACAGGCUUAACACAUGCAAGUCGCGGGGCAGCAUGGGGGUUGCUUGCAAUCCCCGAUGGCGACCGGCGCACGGGUGAGUAACGCGUAUCCAACCUGCCCUUCACCACGGGAUAACCCGGCGAAAGUCGGACUAAUACCGUAUGUUGUCCAUUGACGGCAUCCGAUUUGGACGAAAGGUUUGGCGGUGAAGGAUGGGGAUGCGUCCGAUUAGCUGGACGGCGGGGUGACGGCCCACCGUGGCGACGAUCGGUAGGGGUUCUGAGAGGAAGGUCCCCCACACUGGAACUGAGACACGGUCCAGACUCCUACGGGAGGCAGCAGUGAGGAAUAUUGGUCAAUGGGCGUAAGCCUGAACCAGCCAAGUAGCGUGCAGGAUGACGGCCCUAUGGGUUGUAAACUGCUUUUAUGCGGGGAUAAAGUGGCCCACGUGUGGGUUUUUGCAGGUACCGCAUGAAUAAGGACCGGCUAAUUCCGU
rnacentral:rRNA from 1 species